rnacentral:rRNA from 1 species
GGGAACUGAAACAUCUAAGUACCUGGAGGAAAGGACAUCAAUCGAGACUCCGUUAGUAGUGGCGAGCGAACGCGGACCAGGCCAGUGAUACAUCAAAGACAAUCGGAACCAGUCAGGAAAGCUGGGCCUCAGAGGGUGAUAGCCCCGUACGAGUAAUGCGAUGAUGUAUCCACGAGUAAGGCGGGACACGUGUAAUCCUGUCUGAACACGGGGGGACCACCCUCCAAGCCUAAGUACUCCUCAGCGACCGAUAGUGAACCAGUACCGUGAGGGAAAGGUGAAAAGCACCCCGAUGAGGGGAGUGAAACAGUACCUGAAACGGAUUGCCUACAAGCAGUUGGAGGGUCCUUGAGGCCUGACAGCGUACCUCUUGCAUAAUGGGUCUGUGACUUAAUGUAUCAAGCAAGCUUAAGCCGUUAGGUGUAGGCGCAGCGAAAGCGAGUCUGAAUAGGGCGCCAGAGUUUGAUGUAUUAGACCCGAAACCCGGCGAUCUAGGCAUGACCAGGAUGAAGGUGCGGUAACACGCACUGGAGGUCCGAACCGAUUAACGUUGAAAAGUUACCGGAUGAGUUGUGUUUAGGGGUGAAAGGCCAAUCAAGCCGGGAAAUAGCUGGUUCUCCGCGAAAACUAUUGAGGUAGUGCCUCGAGCGAAUACCGUAGGGGGUAGAGCACUGGAUGGAUGCGGGGGUCGCGAGAUCUACCAACUCUAACCAAACUCCGAAUACCAACGAGUAUAGUACGGGAGACAGACGGCGGGUGCUAAGGUCCGUCGUCGAAAGGGAAACAGCCCUGACCUACAGCUAAGGUCCCCAAGUCAUCACUAAGUGGGAAAGCAUGUGGAACUUCCAAAACAACCAGGAGGUUGGCUUAGAAGCAGCC